CCCGAAAGAUCGAAUGGGGAGAUUCAUCGUCAGCGCGGUUGGCUUUCGCCGCGGGUUGCGAUGUCUGAAGAAAUUUAUUUCAAAUUCACGCGCGGCACGCUCCCGUGCGAAUGCGUCCGGCCGCGUCGGCGUGCACUUCUCCCCUAGUAGAACGUCGCGACCCGCUGGGUGUCGGUCUACGGGGCCGCGUCAUUAGGCCGUCGCGGGCGCUUCACGGCGCCCGUUGGCGGAGGCGUGGAUAUCCCCCGAUCGACUGCCCGGCGGUACACGCACGGUAUCGAGCCGCACAUUUUAACUGCGUUCUGGCCCGUCGCAAGCUCGCUCGUGUUCACUUUGGACGAUUCGGACCUCGAAGCCGACGCCGAAGCCGAGCAGCUGUUGGCGCACGGUGUCCUCGAACAGGCUCACCCACGCCGAGUCCCUCGGGCUCGCGGGUACCGGUCGGCGACGCUAUUGCUUUGGGUACUUUCAGGACCCGUCUUGAAACACGGACCAAGGAGUCUAACAUGUGCGCAAGUCAUUGGGAUUACAUUGAAACCCAAAGGCGUAUUGAAAGAGAAGGUCGGCCCUGGCGCCGACCGAGGGAGGAUGGGCCGCUUCACGAGGCGGCCCCGCACUCCCGGGGCGUCUCGAACUCAUUGCGAGUUGAGGCGCACCCAGAGCGUACACGUUGGGACCCGAAAGAUGGUGAACUAUGCCUGGUCAGGACGAAGUCAGGGGAAACCCUGAUGGAGGUCCGUAGCGAUUCUGACGUGCAAAUCGAUCGUCGGAACUGGGUAUAG
rnacentral:rRNA from 1 species